AAAACAAUAGUGAAAUACAGAAGCUCGAGUUUCAAGUGAAAUGGUGAGAUAUCUUUUUGGAAAAUAAAACAAAAUCUGAAUUUUUACAACACCUGAUGAAGAAGUAUACUUCCGAGCGUCAGAUUUGGCAUAGAAUAUCUCUGAUUAGAUUAAACAUUUAGCUCAAAAGUAUAUAAUACAGAGUUUGUUCCUAUUCGUCGUCAUCCUUGCUCUUAAACUUCUUCUCUUGCGGGGACCAUCAUCAGUCACCUGGCAUCCUCCAGCUUUUCUCUUCUUCUUCUCUGAUUUCGCAUUCUCAUCUGCCCAUAUUCCUCCUCUUUCUUCUUAUUUUUCUCUGUCUUCUCCUCAUCUUCUUCACCCUUUGCCUUCUUCUUCUUGCUUUUCUUUGUGGAGGCUUCAUCCAUUGUCUCUUUCCCUUCCUCAUCUAAAGGAGGCCCCCACUAAACACUGAGUUCACCACCAAAACUAGAAUUUGUAUGUGAAUUUUGUUUAAAAAGGAAAAGAAAUACCUUUGUUUUGCACAUUCUCUAUCACCUUUUCAUUACAUCCACAUUCUUAAGUGGGGUAACACCUUUGUCAUAAAAGUCUAGCCUUUCAUCAACUUGCUCGCCAAAAGGCCGUUGUUGCACCAUCUGCAUAAGACAACACCAAGACACAUAAGUUACAUUUUGAAUCAUAUAUCAUAUAACCAAAAGCUCGAUCUUCUCCUGUGCGUUUUCAGAUUCUUUUACCAGCAAAACAAUCAAUCUGGGGGGCCUCCCAAGAGUGAACCAACCAAACAAUGAUUUCCUGGUUGCAGAUAUCACCUUAAAUUUUGUUGAGCAUGUUCAAACUCUUAUGGUGGACAGAGAGAUGGAGUGAUUGGGAGGCCAUGAUUGAAUUUGAUAGAGUGUUUGGAAGCUUGUAGGUGGGUGGUGAGUAUUGUAGAAGGUUUCCUUUUAUAAAAUUAUAAGAGAGCAGUAGUCUGAGAGGCCAUUAAAGUGAGGCAAUUUAAAGCUCAGAAUGGAUAAUUAAGAUGAGAAAGUAGCGUUGAUGGGGUUUUUUUUUGUGAGAGGGUAGAAGUCAGAUCGACGAUUGCUGUCGCUAACAGAUGGAAGAAGAUGACGCUUUAUUUUCUUAGAUCUUAGAUAACAAUUUCUGUGAGAAUUGUUUUUGUAUUGGGUUGCUAUUGAGAAAUGAAAAGUGAGUAAUAGGCUUUUAAAAUAGAUACAGCUCAAGGUUAAAUCUGUCUUUUUUAUCUUUAUUGUUUUUGUGGUGUGGGCUAGAGAUAGUUUUCUAAUUUCAUUGGCUAGUUUUUGUAAUUUGGGCUUCAAAAAAUUAUUUAUACGUACUUCAAUAAUUUUGUUGCUUCAAUAAUUUUGUUGC
rnacentral:lncRNA from 1 species